rnacentral:rRNA from 1 species
GACGAACGCUGGCGGCGUGCUUAACACAUGCAAGUCGAGCGGUAAGGCCCUUUCGGGGGUACGACGAGCGGCGAACGGGUGAGUAACACGUGGGUGACCUGCCCUCAGCUCUGGGAUAAGCCUGGGAAACCGGGUCUAAUACUGGAUAUGACUCCAUGACGCAUGUUGUGGGGUGGAAAGCCUUGUGCGGCUGAGGAUGGGCCCGCGGCCUAUCAGCUUGUUGGUGGGGGUGAGGCCUACCAAGGCGACGACGGGUAGCCGGCCUGAGAGGGCGACCGGCCACACUGGGACUGAGACACGGCCCAGACUCCUACGGGAGGCAGCAGUGGGGAAUCCUGCGCAAUGGGCGAAAGCCUGACGCAGCGACGCCGCGUGAGGGAUGACGGCCU